rnacentral:rRNA from 1 species
AUUGAACGCUGGCGGCAGGCCUAACCCCUGCAAGUCGAACGAGUGGCGGACGUGUGAGUAAUGUCUGGGAAACUGCCUGAUGGAGUGGGCUAACUACUGUAAACGGUAGCUACUCCCGCAUACCAUCAUAUGUUCCCAUCUGGGAUUCGCUAGUAUGGUGGGUAACGGCUCACCUAGGCGACGAUCCAUCGCUGGUCUGAGAGGAUGACCAGAAAAACUGGAACGGAGACACGGUCCAGACUCCUACGGGAGGCAGCGGUGGGGAAUAUUGCACAAGGGGCGCAAGCCUGAUGCAGCAAGGCCGCGUGUGUGAAGAAGGCCUUCGGGUUGUAAAGCACUUUCAGCGGGGAGGCGUUACCCGCAGAAGAAGCACCGGCUAACUCCGUGCCAGCAGCCGCGGUAAUAC